UACGAUGGGGGCUAACGAUGUUCGGAAUAACUGGGCGUAAAGCGCACGUAGGCGGAUUUGUAAGUCAGGGGUGAAAUCCCGGGGCUCACCCUCGGAACUGCCUUUGAUACUGCAAGUCUGGAGUCCGGAAGAGGUGAGUGGAAUUCCUAGUGUAGAGGUGAAAUUCGUAGAUAUUAGGAAGAACACCAGUGGCGAAGGCGGCUCACUGGUCCGGUACUGACGCUGAGGUGCGAAAGCGUGGGGAGCAAACAGG
rnacentral:rRNA from 1 species